rnacentral:rRNA from 1 species
UACGGAGGGUGCAAGCGUUAUCCGGAUUCACUGGGUUUAAAGGGUGUGUAGGCGGGCUGUUAAGUCAGUGGUGAAAUCUCCGGGCUCAACCCGGAAACUGCCAUUGAUACUAUCAGUCUUGAAUUCUGUUGAGGUGGGCGGAAUAUGUCAUGUAGCGGUGAAAUGCAUAGAUAUGACAUAGAACACCAAUUGCGAAGGCAGCUCACUAAGCAGCGAUUGACGCUGAGGCACGAAAAGCGUGGGGGAUCAAACAGG